UGACUCGAUGCUGCGCAAAAUGCCGCAGUGUGCGCUCUAGUGCUUUAAUUGGAAAAUUACCUGUAUGUCCGCAGUAUAAACUGACAAAAUUAUUUAGAAGUCUGUGAAUUUUAUGCAUUUGGUCCAUCUUGCCAUUUUGUAUUACAACCCACGCUACAUCGCCAUUUUUAAGACUUCACAAUUAACUUGCUUUUCCCUGCAUGUAUUCAUUAUUGUUUUUCAUGUCUCAAUUGUUUAUUGUAUUAAUAGUGAAGUUUAUUUUUUUCUUCUCCAUAUUUACAGAUUGACGAUAAUAGAAGUGGUAAAUGUUCAUUGUGAUGCAACUGAAAAUGAAAAUCUUUUGCCAUGGUGUUGUCUUCAGUUUAGAGUCUUCUAUAGUUAAGGAACAUUACAAAAACUGGAUGGCAUUAAAUUACAGAGCAUUGCUUGUAUCAGUCCUCAUUCCCUCGAGAAAGUAGAUGUUCCUAUGGUCCUAAAGAAAACAUGUUUUUUUUUCAUUGAGGAUGAAGGCAGUUUGCCGUUGUUAAAGGAGAUUUAUUACAGUGAACUGAAAUAGCACAAGCAGAGAAGCAGAAUUAAUAUGAAAUUUCUCUUUUGAUCAAAGUGAAAGUUAGCUUUUAACUUUUGAACUUGCAAGGGGGAGGCAAGAGGAAGUUAAUUUGGAAACCACUGGAACAACAUUACCAGCAAUUGUAUCAUUUCUGGAUUUGGCUUGCUCAUUACACUUGUAGACUUUAGAACACUACAUUCCACAAUUACUUAAGAUCGUCUAACAAAUGAGAGGGAAUUAAAGUUUUUGGUCGUACUGAAACAACCAAUGUCUGGAUGGGUGUGGUCUUUCGUGGAUCAUAUUGUUGAUUUGCAGUUUUCGUCUUCGCCUUGCAACAUUAUGCAGUCAAUUUUCAACCGACGAGUGAGAGCAACUGGAGAUUUAUUCGAA